rnacentral:rRNA from 1 species
GAUGAACGCUGGCGGCGUGCCUAAUACAUGCAAGUCGAGCGAACAGACGAGGAGCUUGCUCCUCUGACGUUAGCGGCGGACGGGUGAGUAACACGUGGAUAACCUACCUAUAAUACUUGGAUAACUUCGGGAAACCGGAGCUAAUACCGGAUAAUAUAUUGAACCGCAUGGUUCAAUAGUUAAAGACGGUUUUGCUGUCACUUAUAGAUGGAUCCGCGCCGCAUUAGCUAGUUGGUAAGGUAACGGCUUACCAAGGCGACGAUGCGUAGCCGACCUGAGAGGGUGAUCGGCCACACUGGAACUGAGACACGGUCCAGACUCCUACGGGAGGCAGCAGUAGGGAAUCUUCCGCAAAGGGCGAAAGCCUGACGGAGCAACGCCGCGUGAGUGAUGAAGGUCUUCGGAUCGUAAAACUCUGUUAUUAGGGAAGAACAAAUGUGUAAGUAACUAUGCACGUCUUGACGGUACCUAAUCAGAAAGCCACGGCUAACUACGUG